rnacentral:rRNA from 1 species
AAAUUGAAGAGUUUGAUCAUGGCUCAGAUUGAACGCUGGCGGCAGGCCUAACACAUGCAAGUCGAGCGGAAACGAGUUAUCUGAACCUUCGGGGGACGAUAACGGCGUCGAGCGGCGGACGGGUGAGUAAUGCCUAGGAAAUUGCCCUGAUGUGGGGGAUAACCAUUGGAAACGAUGGCUAAUACCGCAUGAUGCCUACGGGCCAAAGAGGGGGACCUUCGGGCCUCUCGCGUCAGGAUAUGCCUAGGUGGGAUUAGCUAGUUGGUGAGGUAAGGGCUCACCAAGGCGACGAUCCCUAGCUGGUCUGAGAGGAUGAUCAGCCACACUGGAACUGAGACACGGUCCAGACUCC